GCCCUCCGCGUCCCCUCAGCGCGUCGCUCGGAUUCACCGGGCGUCCCGGGUGCGGCGGAACCCGCAGGGGCCAUCAAGUCACCCUCACCGUCAGCCGCUGCUCUGCGGUUUUGUCUACACUAUCAUCCCAAAAGAACCCCCAAAAUGACCACAGUGCAGCCCGAAACGGCACCAAAGCAGCCCCAAAAAGACCCAAAUGUUGUCCAAACCGCCCGCAGACAAACUAUCUCCAGCUGGCCCAAAUGGCACCAAAAUGACUCUGGAACAAUCCCCAGAUGGCACUAAAUGAUCCCCAAAUAACCUCAAAACAACCUGAAAUGGUGCCAAAAUAAUCACAGAAUGACUUCCAGAUGGUCCACAUGGCACCAAAAUAACCCCCCAAAACCACAGAAUGGCUCCAGGUGGGGCCAUGGAUUGCCAGACUCACACACCGGGAACCCUCCUCCUCCUCCCACCCUCCGUGUACACUUACCUCGGGAUUGGGAUGGCCUUGGAAGACCCCGUCCUUAAACCUGCUGAUCCUCCUGAGCUCCUUCACCCUUCGAGCUGCUUCCCACGGGGUGCCACCAACCUGCUAACCAAACACCAACAACUUGCUCCUGUCAGGAUCUUGAUGGCCGCCACGCCCUUAUCACCACAGCCAACCCAGGCACAGAGUAGCAUGUUUCCAAUCAGUUUGUCUUCUGUGCCCAGCAACAGCUAUGUGUCAGGAUGAUCUGGUGAGGGUAACCAGCACCAUAAUUCAGCAAUGACCCUAUUGGUGCCUUCAGGGCUCCUGCCCAACCCACAGCUCCGCUUUACCAGGAGGUACAGGUUGUGGGGAGGUGAGUUUCCCUAGGAAAGCCUGUGAGCAAUGCCCUUCUCAGGGUUUAUUGCUGCUGGAGAGAAAAGAUCUUGAGGCAGUUCACUCCUCCCUCAGCCCGGGGUAGAGUCUGAACUGCAAACAUAGCUUUAAUGUUUUAAAGAGGGGGAAAAAAAGUAUGAAAUCUCAUGUGCUCACAGGGUCCUCACAAACCCUGUGGGAAGGUUUCACCCACGUCAGAUGACACGAUGCCUGAGAUCCCACCCUGACCUGAUUUUCAGUAGCUGGAGGACUGGGUCUUGCUCUUAGCACUGUGUCACUGCAUGUGAGCAACAGUGAGGAUGAGUGAGAUGAAGGGUUACCUGUGGGAUUAGGAAGGAUGGAGUGAUACCAAUUACAGAGAGGGCAGAAGAAACGAGUCCUGGGCAAUUACAGCACCUACUGAAGUGUGACAGGAUUAAGUCCUGCUCCUGCCCGGCCCUACAAUGCUCCUGGGAGAUUAACGGAGAGAAGGCAGCCCCAGGGACCAGGACUGUCACCUUCCAAGCAGCAAGAACUGGCACAGCAUAAAGCAGGGCAAAGUCUUUUGUUCUGAUCUGAUUAUAACUGGAAACACAACCAACCCAACACAGAUCUUUCCUCUUUUUCAGCUGGCAGCUGCAGCUAUUUCUCUCUUCCAGGUUGUGAUGAGGAACUGCAAGCCAGGCUGCAAACAGGAAAGUGGGGAGCUUUUCUGUCGCAGUCUUUUAACAAAUGCUCAGAAGCUGAAGGUACACUGCUUUAAUUGCUGGACACAGAGGCUUAGCUGGACAGGGUGCAGGGAGAUUUGGGGAAAAACAACACAACAGCUGCUCAGGGACUUGGUGCAGGCUGGAAGUGGGUACAUGAUUCUGGGCGGCCAGCGGGGUUUAUGGAAAACAGUGAAAUUGACCCAAGCCCACUGCUUGCUGAGCAGCACAGUUGGUGCUAAAGGAAGCUGUGCAGGCGAGGCUUGAGAAUACCAAUUUUGUCCUCUGUAGUGGUCGUGUUAAAAUUGAGCUCCCAUCACCAAAACACAGAUCCCAAACACGAAGUUUAGCACAGCUCACCCUCUCAAGUGGCAUAAUUACAGUCAAGCACAAUUUCUAGUGAAUGUUCUACAGGUGCUAAGCAGCCCCUGGGCAGGAUUCUCAACAGACUAGGUCCAUCCAAAGAGUGUUUUACCACACCUGGGAAUAACAACUGCAGUGGUGAUCACACUGCAGCCAAAUUACUCCUUUCCUGAGCAGGCAAGAGUGAUGCUCUCUCCACUGUCACCCUGAGAAUGAACAAACAGAGUUUGAAAGGUGGCUGCAGCAAAAGUGACCUUGCUUACAAAUGGGGACCAAAUUUCCACUGGAUUUUUUAAUCCAUACCUUCAUUGCAAAAACAUGAUGUUCCUAAUUCAGGAAAAACAGCUGGCACCCACACUUGAAGUCUCCUGCUUGGGAGAGGUUCAGUGACCCAAGUUCCAGCACCUGGGGCAGAAAUUGUCACUACAGAGCUCCUCCACAGCUUGCUCUCUGCAGCUCAGAAGUUCACCUUACCAACUGCUAUUUGACACCAAAGGAAUCUUCCCAGCUAAUAUAUUUUACAAAAGGCAUUACAAAUUCUAUUUUAGAAAUUGAUUUUUGCCAGCAAAGGUCACCACACUGGCUUCUGUGGGUGGUAUGGGAGAGUCACCUGUCAGCCACCGAGUGCCUUGUAAUGGAGCUGGGGAAGGACCGAGGUGACUCAGCAUAGGCUGGCCUUCUGAUAGAUGGCUUUGCCCUCGAGGCAGUGUGCAUCUGCACAGAGCCCACAGUCCCCUUUCCCGGUGGGAUUAACCCCUGGGGCUGGGCAAGAGCAGCCUGCAGCCGCCUCUCUGCAGCUGGAUCCAUUCCUUCCCACCUGCAGGAACCAUUCCUUCUCACCCAAAGGAGCCUAAAGGAUCUUGGGAUCUUUCAGCUUGAACCGCUGGUUUCCCCUGAUGCCUCCAGCUGGAGAAAAUUGCCAUGGCAAAUCCAUGCCUAGAUCAGAAGUGUCCCAACCAGAAUUACGUGGAAGACUGACGUCCCUCUUUGAGUGAAUUGAGGCUUAGAGAAAUUAAAUUGAAGUUCAUUUUCUCCACAUUAUUUUUAUUUCUGCCUCUCUGGAAACUGAAACCGUGUAAGGCUGGUUCUACAAAAGAAUGAGAAAUUGGAGAGCAAAGGCGAUAGCAAGACACUCAGCAGAGAGUGCUCCAAGAAGUGCUCUUAAAUUAUUAAAGAGAACUAGCAGAAAAGUGAAGAGAUGUGGGGGUAGGCAGAGAGAGCAGGAGCAAGAGAGCAUGUUUGCACCAUCCUGGAUCACACAGGGUACUUUUCCAAUCUGUCCCUAUUUAGACAUAUCUCUGUGCAGUUUUGAUUUCCCCCAAGGCUUGGGGAACUCUGCUAGAUCAAACAUUCAAAAGACCUUUUAGAAUUGAACACGUGCAUGAACAGCCCCAUGAGCAGAAAGGGAUGGAAGCACUGCAAGGGAGAGCAGAAGGCAAAAGAGGCAGGAAAUUGCCUUAAGAUGCAAUAUAGGUGCUGUUUCCCCAGAGCUAAGGUGGGUGGACCAGUCAUCUACAGGGCACCGAGCAGUGCCAGGAGCUGCUGACACGGAUGGGAACUGAAGGUUGUGGCUGCCUGGCAUCGCCAGGGUGCACCUGGCAGUCAGAGGACCGGAACCAGGACACCCCCUCCUCUGAUUCAGCCCCUGAGUCACCCACACUGUGCUGGCCUUCAGCCGGGACAAUGGACACAGCUGCUCUGCAUUUCUCCUGCUGCAGCAGAAGAGACAUCUCUGCCUGAGCCACCUCUCCUCCCUUGGCAUCCCUGUUUAGCUCAUCCUGGGAGCUGCACGCUGGGUUUGCCAUUGUGUUUCUCCAGCAAGAAGCAGUCUUCUAACCAUGCACAGAUAAGGCUUUACCUAACAGCUUCUCCUUGGAAAAAAUAAGGUUGACGUGUUCUGAUUCUAAAGGCAGUAAAACCACCAUGAGAUCAUCCAGUUUUAUUAAGGAAAGCAUGAGCCAAUUGUCUCACAAACACAGCCCCUAGAAACUCCCUGCUUAAGCAAUAUGCAGUGGCAGAUCUAGAGGAAAACAGGUAAUGCCCAUCGCUGUUUAACCGAUGAUUGUGCAUUCAGGCAUCAUAAACACACAAAGACAGCCUUCGUUUCAAAGAGCUUCAGUUUUCAGCACGUUACUCCUCACAGCUCACCACCCAUCCAUCAUACUUGCCUGUAUGCCUUUGAUGUGAAAAAAGAGUCAACCAUCAGAAUUGUAGCAAUGAUCAGAAACACCCCAGCAUUGCUUUGCUCUGAGGCAGCUCCUGCCCCUGACGGAAUCCAUGCACUGCAGAGCUGCGCCCUGAACUGCGGAUGUCAUCGAGCAGUAAUUAGGCAAUGACACUGUCUACCAGAAAAUCUGCUGUGUUUGGCUGUAACCACAACAGAGCCCACGGCAGUCUUAGCCCAGGCUGAUUUUUUCCCUUUAUUUUAUUUUAUUUUUUUGUCUUUAUAAUAAACCAGACCUUUCAACACCCACAUGCUUUACAAAUAAAUCCCAUUCCUGUUGUGACACAAAAGUCUCCAUGUUUCCUAAGCCACCCUGAGAUCCUUAAGCCUCAAAGGCUUUCCUGCAGCAGCUUCACCUUUAAAAAAAGAAUAAAACUGAAAUAAAACACAAAGCCUCAGCCCAUCUGAACAGCCAAACCCCUGGCUCUGUGGGAGCACGGCAGCACUCACCAGACUUUUCAGCAUUAGCAACCAGCUGAACCAGAGAUCCUGCACGCUCCAUAGCUUUUCUGCUCCGCAAAGCAGAAUAAGAGUUGGGGAAUGGAGCCAGCAGCAGCUCUUUGUCAUCCUGCCCCCACGCUCCCGGUUUGCAGCCUCUGCAGGUUCAUCCCCAGCAUCUUCCCUUCCCACAGUGGCUGGAGAGGUGUUAGAGGGAUGCAGGUGAUGUGGGAGGUAGCAUAGGAGCUGGUGGGAGUUGGAGCUGCAAGUGGAUUCAUGGUGUGAAUUCUCACUCUUUUUAGAGCCAACACCUCAUUUCAUGGCUGCAGAUUACACAGAACCACGUUCUCAGCUACACUGAGCUUUGAAGAGGCUGUAGGGGUCUUUGAAGAUGGCCUGUAGGGGUCAUUUCCCAAAUCAUACCAUGGCCCCGGUAAGCACUAAAGCUGGGCUAGAACUAUCCCACACUUAACUCAAAACACCCUGCAUUUCUCAAACUCUUCCUGCUAAUUUGCGGGCCACCAUGCAAGAGCAAAGCUGGGAAAGACCUUCCAGCACCCAAAUCCGCACGGAGCGCGUCCUCAGCCGCGCUGACUGCUGACACCUGCUGCCAGCAGCCGGCAUCGCCAGCGGGGGGACAGCGCUGCAGGCAGGACGGGUACAUCACCAUUUCCAGACAUCUAAAAGGACCGUUUCUCAUUUCUUGGAGCUGGGGUUCAGCAGGUGCUCUUUGAGAGCUAAUUCCUGCAUUCCUUAUAAUCAGAAUCCCUUUGUGUUUUACCUUUUUUUUUUUUUUUUAAUAACUCAGUGACAGUAGUACAGCUGCUACUGCGAGGUGUGAAAGCGAGAGAACUCAGAGAACAGCACCUGCAGCAAUGCCAACAAGUUUUCACUGAGAGGUGUUGAUUAGCAGACUUCAGAAGAGCUCGACUCAGCCCCUUAUAUGAUCCCAAGUUAAAAUAAACUUAAAUUAAUGCAGAAAACAAUUCAACAUAAAGGCAAAGCAGGGAACACAAACCCAGCAUCAGUGCUACGCGCAAAUGCAGAAAUGUUGCUCCAAGUCCUUGGGAAGGUGCUCCUUGUUGGCAGUAGCCCUCAAAGAGAUUUUCUGCUGUCUCACUGCUGCUUGGGUUUGGCUUUGACAAAACAUCCCAUCCCUCACUCCCAUAGUUUGACAAACUGUAUCUAAAUUCUCUUCUUGAGUGCUCCAACAAAAGCAGCAAAUGUCAAAUACAAAUUUUUAUUACUGUUUUUCUUAGUAACUUAAGAUUACUCAAAGAGUUGCAGGCCCAAGGCUCAUUGCUAGCAGCUAGACCUGUUAAUAGACUGUUCACAGUGUACAAAUACAAUUUCUUGCUUCACCUCACAACAUCCUUCUCUCCAAAUUGGAAAGAUAUGGAUUUGAUGGGUGGACUGUUCAGUGGCUGCAGGAUCAAGUCCAAAAAGUGGUGAUCAAUGGUUCAGUGUCUGGAUGGAGACUGGUGACGAGUGGUGUCCUCCAGGGGUCAGUGCUGGUACUCAUACUCUAAUAUCCUCAUCAUUGACAUUGACAGGGGGGUUUGAGUGCACCCUCAGCAAGUUUGCUGAUGACACCAAGCGGUGGGGUGCAGUGACACACCAGAGGGGCAGAAUGCCAUCCAGAGGGAUUUAGAUAAGCUGAGCAGCAGGCCCGGGAGAACCUCAGGAGGUUCAACAAAUCCAAGUGCAAGGCCUGCACCUGGGUUGAGGUAACCCCCACUAACAGUGAAAGCUGGGGGAUGAAAGCAUUGAGUGCAGCCCUGGCAAAAAAGACCUGAGGGUACUGCUGGAUGGCAGCUGGACAUGAGCCAGCAAUGUGCCCUCAUGGCCCAGAAAGAUAAUCGUAUCCUGGGCUGCAUCAAAAGAAGCGUGGCCAGCAGGGUGAGGGAGGUGAUCCUGCCCCUCUGCUCUGCACUGAGGCCUCACCUGGAGCACUGCAUCCAGAUGGGGAGUGCCUCAGUAUGAGACAUGGACCUGCUGGAGUGCACUCAGAGGAGGGCUACAAAAAUGCUCCAAGGGAUGGAACACCUCUGUACGAGGACAGGCUGAUAGCUAGAGUUGUGCAGCCUGGAGAAGAGGAGGCUGAGGUGACCUGCUAGCAGCCUGUCAGUAUCUAAAGGGGAGCUACAGGAAAGAAGGGGAGACACUUUAGAAGGAUCUGUGGUGAUAGAACAAGGGAAAAUGGCUUUAAGCUCAAAGUGGAAAGAUUUAGGUUAGAUAUACGGAAAAAAUCUUCUACAGUGAGGGUGGUGAGGCACUGGAACAGGUUGCCCAGUGUUGUGGUUGGUGCCCCAUCCCUGGAGACUUUCAAGGUGAGGCUGGAUCAGGCCCUAGGCAACCUGAUCUAGCUGUGGUGUCCCUGUGCAUUGCCAGGGAGUUGGAUUAGGUGGCCUUCAGAGGUCCCUUCUCAAAGGGAAUAGAUCUAAGGAUUCUAUGAUUCUACUCAGGCAACAAACCAUGCAUUUAAACUAACUGUCUCUGUUCAGGUGGGGAUACUGCAGGUCAGCACAGCUGCUGAGUGUUAAACAAAAUGGCCUCGUGGACAUAGCACCUCUAUAGACUGCACAAGCCUAACAAGGUACAUAUGCAAGAAACCAAAAAUAAGAACAUAAAUGAGGUUUUGUCCUUGCCCGUUGAGACUGCUUUACCCUACACAAGCUGUGUGUAGGGUAACAAUCCCUGUUGCUGGGCAAUCUGGGAGUAGUCAUGAAGAAGAGGGAAUAGAGGACGCAGUAAAAUGCAACUGAAGUAACACACAGUGGCUUUGAACUGCUGGUAGGUUUUGCAAGAUCAAGAGGAAAGCUGUCAAUCCUGGGACAGCACAGGCAGGGAUAGCUUGGCUCCUGCUGCCAAGCAACACAACCAGAGACAACUGCACAAGAAUGGUCAGGCAGCCUCAGCUGGAGGCAGCAAAGGCACCAUGAUCCCAAUGCCUGCUCUUGUGAAGAUUUGCCCUAAUGAAGGGGAAGUAAAAUCUUUCCACUAGUCAGCACAGACAGCAUGGAUGCAAGUUACAAUGGUCACACAAUCAGUACAGGUGUGUAGAGGCAGGUACUCCAGAGCUUCUGCCUUGUGUCUUGGAUUCUCCUCUAACACCACUUCUACACAAACAAGAUCACCAACCAGACCAAGAAGCUCACAAAACAAGCUGCUGCAUGUGGUGAUGAGAGGCGGCAGUUUCUUUAAAACCUCUGGGCAGUGGGGGUUCAGACAAAAAGUAGCUUCCACUGUAAGAUGCGGCCAGCUAUAGGCACUCUGGUCCUUUCCCCAGAAUGCAAAACAAAAACAAACAAAAACCCCAAAACUAUUGCAUCCUAUAAAUAUCCAACACUGUAUCAUCCCUGCCAAACAGCUGUGGACGUUUCCCAUCCCAAAUCUUCUAUCACCUAGGGUUGCACUGAAUGUUUAUGUUCAAAGUAAUCCUUUGCCAUCAUCUGCCCAAAACACCUUGCAGUCCUGAAGCAGAUUAUUUCAGUGUGAUUUACAGGAACAUAAAAAUACUAAAUGGAUCUACAGCUCAGGACUGCUUACUCUUCAAAAAGAAAGGAGAGGAGCAGCUGCUACUCUGUAAGGGAAGGAUAAGUCAAUUCACUGGGCUCUAGGAGUCCAUUUGCAAUGACAAAGCCUACCUCCUCCCCAGGGAAACUGGGCAAUGAGGCUGGGCAAUAAUGAAGAAUGUGGCAAGAUGCUGGGCGAGAUGUAAAAUCUUUAUUCCAGUUCUAAAUUGGAAAAAAACCAUCACCUCCACAGAUCAUCAUUUGACAGUUCAGUCAGCAUGGGGAGAGGUCACACUUGCCCAGUGGAGGCACAGACUUAAAGGACACAGUCCUGUAGGCACUUGGAGAGGAAGCUCAGCUUCAAAGUUCAAACACUGAACAGUUUGGCUUAAAAUUUUAAUAUAAAAAACUCACUAAAAAUGCUAAAAUGUGACAAACCAUUGGAAAUACUGUGACAAACAUUCGCCCUUAGGCAGUAAAAAACAAAACAAACCCAAACUGGCAAGAAGCUUUGAAAUGUACGUUUUCUUCUUCCUCCCGGCACAUUGGACCAUCAUCUUCUACUUAAAACGUUCAUCUACAAAAUCCAUGGAAUCUUCACUACGUACUUCAGUGCAACAGAC